ensembl:lncRNA
AGUACAGUUGCCAACCCUCUGUGUCGUGUAUUCCACUACUGUUUGUAUCUAAAAUAAUAUCAGAAUUCUUUCUAAUGAAUUAAAGAAUAGUUUUAGGGUGUGAACUUAUCAAUAAAUAACCAAAGGCAUACUUGAUUUCAACUUGGUAACUUUUUGCUUUUGUAUUUCUGACAACUAACUUCAGUUACUGAGGGAAAGAAAAUGACCGCAGCUCUUGAUGAAUUUCAAAGAAGGGAGGCACGCUGCAAUAAGAUAAAUAAAUUUGAAAAUUCCAUUUAGAAACAUCCAGGAUUGUCAUAGAAAACUCUUGAGUAAUGUACAUGUGGCUGCUAACAAGGCUGUAAAUGGCUGUACUACUGCCAAUAAAGGAUGCCAUCUGACUCCAAGGGACAAAGCGGGGCUCCUGCUGAUAAUUUCGGUAAAAUGGGAACAUGGACACCAGCCUCUGUGGAAAAUCCUCAGCAAGUGGGAAAGAACCUGAACUUCUUGCCUCUUCAAAGGAAGCCAUCAUCCAGAGAGGUAGUUUAACCACAGAGGCUUUCUGUAUUGCAAUAAUUAGGACUUCGGAGAUUCCCUAAACAAGUUCCCAUGAGAAAAGAUUUUCUGGGUAAGGUUUCUGGUAAAUUGCUCAGGCCGGAAUUUGAUUACAAUAUCUCUUGCAGUGACAGAAAGUUAAAAAUCACAAUGUAAUAUUGGAAAUGUAUCCCUUCAGCUGCAAUUGGGAUAUAUUAUGUGAUCUGCUGAUACUUGUUUCUUUAUAUUUUCAAAGCCAAGUUAUAUGAAUGUUAUGAACCUUCUGUGCUGGCACUGACUGAUGAAACAUUUUGGAAAUUAUCUGCUCAUACACCUACAUGCUUAGUACAACAGAGAGAUGGAAAUUUAACUGCAUUCAUGACUUUCAUUGACUUUUUUUUUUCCUUAUGAAUUUAACUUUAGUUUUACAGGACUGGAUUCUGUGAAACUAAGGAGUACACUUGUGCUGCUGCAUGGGAAAUGUCUUGUUUUUAAUGAGUUGCCAACUUAAUGACCUGUGGGAUUUCAAAGUUCCUUUUUUGUUUUAAAGGAAAUGAUUAAUAUAUAUUCUGUCUUUAAUUAUAGUGCUAUAAUUGUGUGAAAGGAAUUCCAUUCAUUCUUUUCUUCAUUUAAAUGUCUUACAUUUGUGAAUGUUAGGCAACAUAAUCUUCUAAAAGUUCUGUCUGCAAAACAGAAGUAUAAUAUUAUUCACUUUCAAAUAUGAGAGUAAUGGGAGUACUGGUAUUCCUCAGUUUAGGGCAGAAUAUUUUGAUUGCUGCUGUAAAAGGAUAGGCCAGUUAUUUAAAUAAUUGCUUGACUAAAAUAAAAUGAAUUUAUAUGGAAAUAAAUACA